rnacentral:rRNA from 1 species
UGGGGAAUUUUGGACAAUGGGCGCAAGCCUGAUCCAGCCAUGCCGCGUGCGGGAAGAAGGCCUUCGGGUUGUAAACCGCUUUUGUCAGGGAAGAAAUCUUCUGAGUUAAUACCUCGGGAGGAUGACGGUACCUGAAGAAUAAGCACCGGCUAACUACGUGCCAGCAGCCGCGGUAAUACGUAGGGUGCAAGCGUUAAUCGGAAUUACUGGGCGUAAAGCGUGCGCAGGCGGUUUUGUAAGACAGAGGUGAAAUCCCCGGGCUCAACCUGGGAACUGCCUUUGUGACUGCAAGGCUUGAGUGCGGCAGAGGGGGGAUGGAAUUCCGCGUGUAGCAGUGAAAUGCGUAGAUAUGCGGAGGAACACCGAUGGCGAAGGCAAUCCCCUGGGCCUGCACUGACGCUCAUGCACGAAAGCGUGGGGAGCAAACAGGAUUAGAUAGCCCUGGUAGUCCACGCCCUAAAACGAUGUCAACUGGUUGUUGGGAAGGUUCCUUCUCAGUAACGUAGCUAACGCGUGAAGUUGACCGCCUGGGGAGUACGGCCGCAAGGUUGAAAC